rnacentral:rRNA from 1 species
UACGGGGGGGGGUAAGCGUUGUUCGGAAUUACUGGGCGUAAAGGGCUCGUAGGCGGCCAACUAAGUCAUACGUGAAAUCCCUCAGCUUAACUGGGGAACUGCGUGUGAUACUGGAUGGCUUGGAUUUGGGAGAGGGAUGCGGAAUUCCAGGUGUAGCGGUGAAAUGCGUAGAUAUCUGGAGGAACACCGGUGGCGAAGGCGGGUCUCUGGGCCGUAACUGACGCUGAGGAGCGAAAGCAUGGGGAGCGAACAGG